rnacentral:rRNA from 1 species
AACGAACGCUGGCGGCGUGGAUAAGACAUGCAAGUCGAACGGGAGUUUAUUUAUAGCAAUAUGGGUGAACUCUAGUGGCGAAAGGGUGCGUAACACGUAGCUACCUACCUCGAAGUUGGGGAUAGCUCGGCGAAAGCCGGAUUAAUACCGAAUGUGAUCGUGAGAUCAAAGCUGGGGAUCGUAAGACCUGGCGCUUUGAGAUGGGGCUGCGGCCUAUCAGGUUGUUGGCGGGGAAUGGCCCACCAAGCCUAAGACGGUAGC